rnacentral:lncRNA from 1 species
AUGGAAUAACUAAAUUGAAAUGCAAGAUCAGAAAUGUCAGUUGAGAUAUUAAAUUCAAGGCAACGUUGUGAGUUGGGAAUAGAAUCGGCUUUACGUUAUGAACCUGAGACUCAUGCCAGUGAAAUCAAUACAGUGGUUCAUCCUGGUCUUUACGAAUCUGGGAAUAGAAUCGGUUAGUUCAUCCAAUCAAAUUGUCACUAAGUUGUAUUAUAGGUUUACGUAUUCACACACCCUUUUAUACGACGCGUAUACGCGUCGUAUAUUAUCAUAUCGUAUAGGUCCCAUAUAAGCCUAUAGGUGUAGUAUAAUAUACCAUAGCAUCGUAACGUAUCGUAUAGGUGUAGUACGCACCCCGUAUAGGGCUUAUAAGUGUAGUAUUAUAUAGCAUCGUAUCAUAUAAUAUCGUACAAUUUUGUAUCAUAUUGGUGUAAUAUAGCAUAGUCUAGAAAUACGAUACGAGACUUAUACUAUACGAGACAAUACGAUACUAUACCUAUAGGCCUAUACGAGACUUAUACUAUACGAUACUACACCUAUAGGCCUAUACGAGACUUAUAGUACACUAUACGAUACUACAUCUAUUGAGGCCUAUUACAUCUCUUGGUUUAUACGAGCCCUAUAUGGGACCUAUACGAUACUACACUAUACGAUACUACACCUAUAGGCCUAUACAUGACUUAUAUUAAUUACACUAUUCGAUACUACACUAUAGGCUUAUACGGGACCUAUACACCUAUACGAUACACUAUGAUACUAUACUACAUCUAUAGGCCUAUAUGGGACUUAUACUACACUAUACAAUAAGAUACUACACCUAUAGGCUUCCA